rnacentral:lncRNA from 1 species
UGAGGCGGUAAUUCUCGACGAUGGUGGGUACGGCGUUUGGCUUGCUAGUGGUGGCUGGAGCGUGGAUGAACCGCUGCCGCUGCCCUUCGUGCGAAAGUAGCUGGAUUUCUCUGUCCAUAAGUUUUACAGGUGAAAAAACCCUAUGAUUACUGUUUUCUGAGGGUUUUUGUGAAUAAUUGGUGUUGUGAUUAUGUCCCCUGUGUAUAUGUGAUUUUUUAUUGUGUUUGGGGAUGGUGAUGCCAUUUGUUGGAGUAGCCAUUGUGCGAUGGAGUUCUUUUCUUCAUUAGUUAACUUAGAAGUAGCUCUUAAAUUGGCCAUUUAUGCCUUUUGUAUUCAAUUCUAAUUUUCAGAUUGCAGUUUGAGUAAAUGGGUGUAGUUACUGCAGCUAUUUAAUGUUGUUUUGCUGAUUAGGUGAGUACUAAUAUUCCCUCCAAAUUUUUUGGAGGGAUGUGUUAAUG